rnacentral:lncRNA from 1 species
GAGCUUAAUUGUAUAUGAUGAAAAGGUUCAAGUUUGGGGUUGUAUGGGGGAAAAUUGAGAAAAGCAAAUGAAAAGCAUUUAGCUGAAAUGUUGUGAAAAGAAAAAAAAAUUCAUGAGAAAAAAAAAGAGAAGAAAAGCAUGAAGAGGAGCUCAAUGAAAAAGAAAAGGGAAAAAAGUUGGGAAUAAGUGAGAUUGGUGAGAAAGAGAGUUGUGUUUAAAUUGUUGAAUAUUUUGAAAGCUCUCUUAACUCAAGGACUUUGUAUUCCGGAAAAACCAAUUUUUCUUGUUAGCUCAACCUCAUUACAAGCCUUGAAAAAAGUCCUUUUGAUGGCAUUUGCAUGUAAAGAUGUUGAUUGUUUGAGAUGAAUGGCAAUUUUGUUUUAUGUGACUUGUGAACAAAUAGAGAGUGGAGUGUAACCUUAAACACUUGAGUGAUUGAGUGAAACACUUGCUUGAUAUGAACUGUUA